AGCGAACGCUGGCGGCAGGCUUAACACAUGCAAGUCGAACGCCCCGCAAGGGGAGUGGCAGACGGGUGAGGAACACGUGGGAAUAUGCCCUUUGGUUCGGAAUAACUCAGGGAAACUUGAGCUAAUACCGAAUAAGCGCGAAAGCGGAAAGAUUUAUCGCCGAAGGAGUAGCCCGCGUCUGAUUAGCUAGUUGGUGAGGUAACGGCUCACCAAGGCGACGAUCAGUAGCUGGUCUGAGAGGAUGAUCAGCCACACUGGGACUGAGACACGGCCCAGACUCCUACGGGAGGCAGCAGUGGGGAAUAUUGGACAAUGGGCGCAAGCCUGAUCCAGCCAUGCCGCGUGAGUGAUGAAGGCCUUAGGGUUGUAAAGCUCUUUUGUCCGGGAAGAUAAUGACUGUACCGGAAGAAUAAGCCCCGGCUAACUUCGUGCCAGCAGCCGCGGUAACAC
rnacentral:rRNA from 1 species